UGUAAAUAAAUCUCCAAACGCUGUUUUGAAUGACAUUUCGUAGGUGAAUUUCAAUCCGAGGUCCUACUGUCUAAGUAUACGGCGACAAUCGGGAACUACAGCAACAACAUCAGUCUCCGGCAGUCAUAGUGCAGUAGUGACGUGCCAAGGCAUCAUACCAGAGAUCGAGAUUCUAGACAGCGAGGACGAGGAAAUACAAAGCGCUUUACUAGAGGCAAUGCAGCACCAGGAACCAAGUACCAUGAGGUGAAAUAUGUAACCUGUUCCUGAGAGUUAUAUGCCCUUGAAAUAAACCAUGGGCAUGGCUGCUAUGCCUAUGACAAAGCGGUGUGGGGGUAUUGUUAGUCACCCUUGUGGCUUCUAUGCCUGUGACAAAGCGGUGUGGGGGUAUUGUUAGGCACCCUUGUGGCUGCUAUGCCUAUGACAAAGCGGUGUGGGGGUAUUGUUAGUCACCCUUGUGGCUGCUAUGCCUAUGACAAAGCGGUGUGGGGGUGUUGUUAGUCACCCUUGUGACAAAGCUGUAGUUGUAUCUGCCCUAUUCAGUUUUGGGGAUUUUUAAUUAGGAAUCACGCAUGUCAUCAAAUUAAGUCGUGCCAUGCUUUUCACAAUGUCUGGUAACUUUCCAUCUUACUUUAUUGUCACGUCAUGCCACUUCCCAAUAGGUUUCCCUGUCUGGCUAUUUCUCAAUAGUAGUAGAGGUAUUGGCUUCAAACCCUGCUCAUGUAUAUAGGGUUAUAAAGAGGAGACGAUGAGUGGAGUGCACACGAUUUGUAACUCCAGCUGCAUCAUGUACAACGUUAUUACCGUUGCUUCAAAUAUGUAUUUGUGGUAAUUAGAUGCAGUGACAGACACAAAAUGUCCAGUAUACUAUCAAUGCAGAACAAUAGGGACAGCUGUUGUUAAAAUAUUACAAUAUCAUUAAACUCAAAUUUUAUUUUACAUUCAGCGAUGAUUCCACAGAGCCAUCUGUGGCUGAUAUUUUACAAGAGUUUUGGAACCAAUACAUCAAAGAUGACCGCACAAACUGUGUGAUCUCCUGUUCGAAGCCGUUAGAUAUUGCCAUACGACUAUUAGAAAAGACGACGGUCAAGCUUCAAAAUAAAUUGUUUGUCAAGUUUUCUGGGGAGAUUGGUGGGGACCAUGAAUUUUUCCGGUAUGCUUCAUUAUACCGUAAUAACUCUAUGUGUUCGGACAUUCUAAGUUUUCGGACACCCCCUUUUUAAGCAAAAAUAAUUAUUUUUCAUGACUCUUAAUUUUCGGACACACGAGUUUUCGUCCAUCAUUAAUGUCUCUAAGUUUUCGGACAGUAUAUUUUACAGCGCUAUUUUACCAAAUUUCGGUCCUGUUUUCGAUAUCUUAUGACACUUCGAUCAUGGGGUUUUACAACCAGAUUAACAUCAUAAAACAUGGCAGGUGCAUGCCUGAGGGUAACGGACCAUUACAUAUGCGUUAUUGGGUAAAUAACCUUGUAAACCGGUAUUAAAUAAUGGUUUCGCCCGAUAGCAUAAGCUUUAUGACAAUAACCAGGGGUAGUGCCAAUUAACAGUUCCAUUAUCUACCGCAAUGGUACAACCCCCAUCUCAGUAAUAUAACUGUGACAAAUACUAAACGCUUCGAAGUGUGAUGCACCCUAUUGCAAGUUUCACGAACAAUGGAAGUUGUUAGACAACAAAUAUCGGAAAUGAACAAACAAAGAAUUCAUAGUUUGCUUUUGUAUUGCGUUAAUUACAGGUUCAUACUAGCGUGUAUCGGUACAUCACAUGCUCAUCUUUGAACACGUUGGUCAACGUACAACCUUGUAGUACUUUCUGUCACAUAAAUGAAGCAUUUUAAAUAAUUUUUAAAUGCAGUGCAAACAUAUUUAACUGUAAUUUAUACUUUGCGGCAUGGUAUUUUACAAGCGCGUGCUAUUACCGGUAGUCGUUGAUACAAUUGACGCUAUUUUCGGACACUUAAAUUUUCGACUCUAAGUUUAGGACACCUGUAUUUUGUGAAUAUUUUUCGUAUCUAAGUUUUCGGACACGAAACUAAAUAAUUAUUUUGACGUGUCCGAAAACAUAGAGUAAUUACGGUAUCAUCACAUGUCUAACAUUAAAAAAGAUGUUCACAGCAAUGUAGUUGUAUUGUUAUGUACUGUCUUGUAUUAUUUAACACAAACUUGAAUAAAAUAAUGUAGUAAAACUAGAACAUUCAAACAGUAAUUGUGCAGUAACAGUACAGAACUAUUACAGAAUGUGUAUUAUACUUGUAUAACUCAGUACAAAACCAAUUCAGUUUUAGUACACUACAGGCACAACGCCUAUUCAAUUCCAAUAGAAUAGAACAGAACCAGUGUAGUUCUAGUACAGGACCAAUCAAGUCUAAACACAUUUGAAGAUUGGCCUCCAAGGUUCAAAAAAAAAAUUAAGGACCAGAUGGAGCAAAGGUUUUCAGACAUGAUCUUCAACUUGUGGAAAAGGGGCAAUACAGGAUUGUGGGAAGGCUGUUGGCUAUGUCACUCGCGCAGGACAGAACAGGUUUUCACUGCUUGAACAAGCAGUUUUUUGCAAUGAUGACGGUUGUUAAUGGGAGACAACUGCUACUGAUGAAAUCAUGGACCCCGAUAUUAAGGAAUGUCUUGAAAUGUUGGAGAAAAUCACAGACGUUCAGAAAAGGGAUCAGUUCUUGGCAAAGUUUGGGGACUGGCUGGCUGACAGGGGGAUCAACCCUUAUAGAAUGGCCGUGGUGGACAAGGGAUCCAUGAAGGAGAUGGUUAUAAAGUACCACAUGUUAUAUGUAGAACAUCAGCUAAGAUUGCCCAAUUUAAGGAUGGCAUGGAUGACGUAUGCGGCAUGUGGGGGAUGGUAACAAAACAUGCCAGUGUAUUCCAACCGCUGUUUUGCAAUCUUCCUAAACCUCUAAUGAAACAGGAGAUGGACAGAAUCAUUCGGUAUGAUUUCAGUGAACUCAGAUCUAAUGCCAGGACAUCUGAAGAUGAGACUGUUUACGCAUGUGAGCUCUUUUUGCAGGACAUUGAAGAUGGAAUUGUUCCAACAACAAGGGCAGAGUUGCUGUCGUUCAUUUCCGGAGCAGCCAGUAUUCCCUCCUUGGGCUUUCAAAAGCUGAUUGAGAUACAUUUCUAUAUGCAAGAAGACUGAGUGACCCGUCUUCCAUAUGCAUCAACAUGUUCUCUGGACUUGUGGCUGCCUAGACGACAGAAACCAGAGAGCU